CUGCAGGGGACCUUCCCUAUCCAGGGAUCGAGCCCAGGUCUCUCGCACAGCAGGCAGAUUCUUUAACACCUGACCCACCGGGGAAGCAUCAUUAAAUAGGGGAAGGCUGGUUUCUCACAGCAAAAUGCUUGCCGUUCUAAGUAAGAGGGACUCGAGACCCAGCAACGUCCAAAGACGUGGCUCAGGCCCGGAGCCGAGGCUUUCCUAGCCCUUUGUGCUUGUAACCAGAAUUGCAGUAAUACCCGGAGGGCAUGGCCCUACACUUCCCUGACCGGAAGCCCAGGCUCAGCCGGGAGGCCAAGCCGCAGAAGGACGUCUGGAGUUCAAAGGCAGAGGGUGAGGCCAGGGAGGAGGCGGCCCAGCAGGCAGAAAGGAAUGGAGGCGGCGUGUGCUCGCCCCAUGGAGCCUGCUCUGCUGGAGUGUGAAGCCAAGUCCAGGCUCCUCCUGCUGGGAAAAUAGCAGUUCUUACAGAUAUGCUUUCAACACAGGCUUGGAUGACAAUGAACACAUCAUUGUCAGCAAAGCAGCGACUUCAAAACGAUGAAGGAAGAAUGGAUUUUCAGCGCGAUUCACAGGAAGGCGGGUGAGCUCCUGACUGAUUGCUGGCUUUUGCGGCAGUUGAUCCGCCUGAUGACCUCAGAAGCAGUGACCUAGUUGAAAAAGUUAGCCAACCAAAGAAGGAAGGCACCAGCACUUUCCCACGGGUCUCAGGAAACAACCCCAGACUGUCAGAGUGAAGCCAGCUGGGACCUGGAGGUGCAGACCUGGCUCAGAUCCCCACGUGACACUUAGCCCCUCUGUGGCCUCGGGCCCAGCCUGCGAACCGCAGGGGUGACAUCCCUGAAAAGAGGUAACUUCCACCUUCAGUCACCAGGGGGCAGUGGCGGGGAGCUCACACUACCAGCUCUAAGGCCCUGCCCGCAUGGUGACGUCACGAGGUGUGACCGUGUAAGUCGGCUCAGGAUGCUGCUGCUGCGUAACAAAAUGAUAAGGAUGGGAGGGGGCUCAAACACUGAGAUGUCUGUUCUCCCAGCCUGGAGGCCUGGAGUCCAAGAGCCCAGGGUCUCCUCAGCGUCCUCCCCCUGCGUCCAGACGUCCGCUUUCAUAGGGGCAUCAGCCUUAUUGGAUCAGGGUGGUGACUUGCCUUGGAUGGACGGCAGGCCAGGCUCAUACAAAACCCCUUUGCCCCUGCUUCUCCCAACAUCUCCCAGCAGGGCUCCUGGAUGCCUCCAGCUUGGAGCUGGCUCCCCAGACCCUGCCGAGAGCCCGCAGACCUCUUCACGUGCCGUCGGUUCUGGCAUCAACGUGUGUUGCUUUCCCUGGCGUGUUUCUAAGUAGAAUUCAAGUUCAUAAAGUGGAACUAACCGUUGCCCCGAGUCAGGACAUUUUCCCACCCUCCGUUCAUGCUUGUCUCUCCAGCCUUCUUGUAUUUCAUUUAUUCAUUUAUUUGGUGUUAGUUGUUUGAUUAACAGCCAAGACGUACACAGCUGGAGCAGAGGGUGGCCGCACUGCGGCUCACGUCUGCGUUCCGCCAUCCCCACCCCUCUGCCCUCCACCCCCAGCUGCCCAACAACAGGUAACGCUGCCCUGAGUCUUGUCUGUGGUUCUCCCAACAUGUUCAUCCUACGGCGUUAGCAGGAUGUGUGUGUGUGUGUGUGUGUGUGUGUGUGUGUGUGUGUGUGUGUGUGUGUGUGUGUGUGUGUCCCUGGGGAGGAAUAUUUGGUUCCGACGUUGUUGCCUGUGUUCUUGAUGUUUCAAGAGCUGUUCUUUAAGUCACUACUUACUAGAGUUUAGUCUAAACUGCAGCAGCUGGGAACCUGGAACUCGUGCAACUCACGAAAACUCUUGAGUGGCCCCUCCCCCGCCCCUCUAGCCACCUAUGAAUCAGUGUGAUGCAUGACCACUAAUGAGGGCAGCAACCUCUCAGUGUCCUUGCUGAAUGUUUUGAGUUUUCUCGGCUCUGAAAUGCUUGGCAGAGCUUUGCCACUAUU